UAUCAAAAAGGAAAAAUGGCAAAACCCUCUUCCUCCUCUCUCCCAUAUCUCUCCUUCGCCACCCCCAAAGCACCGACAAACCCCAAUCACUCCCCUGUGCGGCCCAUCUCCUCCACCCCGAAAAUUCGCCGACUCUAUAGUGACGAUGAAAUCAAGCACUAUUCGAUUUGGAAAAUUCAAAUCGCCAUUGAUGGCCCUUUGUUCAAAUUUCAAAUCUUUUUAUUUUUCGAGUUUCGAAUCCGGACUUUCAAGUCCGGAUUCACCUAUAAAUUGUGUUCAUCGUCUCUAGUGGAAGGGUGGAAAAAAAGAAAUUGGGAAAACAGGGGAGUAAAAUUAGAAGGAGCAAGAAGGGAAUUGGGGGAAAAAGAAGCAAAUUUCAUAAGAAAGGUAAGGAAAAGAAAAAAAAAAAACGAGGGGAAUUGGAAAAGGAGUAAAAAUUAGUGUUUGAACAGAGAGGAAAAUAGCAAAAGAGGGGGGCGGAGAAGUGGUUCACGAAAGACUGCAUAUUAUAUCAAUUUCCUUCAUCAUACUACCACUUUUUUAUUGUUGAGUCUAUCGGAGUUGAGUUUGAAGAGGAAAUUCGUGGCCGGAAUCUUGACAGAAAGCUCCGGUUUGCUGCUCAACAAAAGCAUAAUGAAGACAUCUAAAGAAUUGUGGAAUGCGCUGGAAAAGAAAUAUAAGACUGAGGAUGCGGGAAUCAAGAAGUUUUAUGUUUCACGAUUUCUUGAAUACAAAAUGAUCGAUAGUAAGACUGUUUGUUUCUCAAGUACAAGAGUUGCAAGUCAUCAUCCACGAUCUCCUUGCAGAAGGUUUGGUUGUGAACGAGGAAUUUCAAGUAACUGCGAUAAUUGAGAAGUUGCCACCUUUGUGGAAGGACUUCAAGAAUUACUUGAAACACAAAUGAAAGGAGAUCACAGUUAAAGACCUCAUUGUGAGGUUGCACAUUGAAGAAGAUAAUAAAUCCGCAGAGAGAAGGUCUAAAGAAAAUUUUGCAAUGAAUGGAGCUAAUAUUGUAAAAGACGACCCCAAUAACUCAAAAAAGCGGAAGAAAGUUGGACAACAAAGCAAUCAGCUUAAGAAGAAAUUCAAAGGGAAAUGCUUUAAUUGUUGCAAGAUUGACCACAAGUCUAUAGAUUGUCGUGCCCCAAAGAAAGGCAAAAAGAAGGAUCAAGCAAAUAUGGCUGAAUCCAAGAACGAAAUAGACGAUCUAUGUGUCAUGCUUUCGGAAUGUAACUUGGUGGGAAAUCCUUGAGAAUGGUGGAUGAAUUCUAGUUCCACCCGCCACGUUUGUGCAAAUAAAGAGUUAUUUGUUGCGUUUGCUCCAACUCAAGGCGAAGAGAAGAUUUACAUGGUAAACUCCAUAACUGCAAAAUUUGAAGGGACAAGAAAAGUAUGCUUGAAAAUGACUUCAGGAAAAGUAUUGACUCUUAGCAAUGUUCUGUAUGUACCAGAGUUAAGAAAGAACUUGAUUUCUGUAUUACUUCUUGACAAAAAUGGAUUCAAAUAUGUAUUUAUUUUUGAAAAAAAUGUAAUUAGCAAAGGGGAAGUAUACGUAGGAAAAGGCUAUCUCACUAGGGGCCUAUUUAAGAUGAAUGUUAUGAAUGUUGAAGUCAAUAGAAGUUCUGUUUCUUCUUAUUUGCUUGAGUCUAACGAUUUG